AGAGCGAACGCUGGCGGCAGGCUUAACACAUGCAAGUCGAGCGGGCGUAGCAAUACGUCAGCGGCAGACGGGUGAGUAACGCGUGGGAACGUACCUUUUGGUUCGGAACAACACAGGGAAACUUGUGCUAAUACCGGAUAAGCCCUUACGGGGAAAGAUUUAUCGCCGAAAGAUCGGCCCGCGUCUGAUUAGCUAGUUGGUGAGGUAACGGCUCACCAAGGCGACGAUCAGUAGCUGGUCUGAGAGGAUGAUCAGCCACAUUGGGACUGAGACACGGCCCAAACUCCUACGGGAGGCAGCAGUGGGGAAUAUUGGACAAUGGGCGAAAGCCUGAUCCAGCCAUGCCGCGUGAGUGAUGAAGGCCCUAGGGUUGUAAAGCUCUUUGUGCGGGAAGAUAAUGACGGUACCGCAAGAAUAAGCCCCGGCUAACUUCGCGCCAGCAGCCGC
rnacentral:rRNA from 1 species